UACAUACAGGAUGAUUCACGAGACGUGAGCAGGACUAAGCCUACACAAUCAGUAAAUGUAAAAGAAUCGUUCACCAUAAUAUUUAAGUAAAACAAUCACGCUUUUUUCUCUGUUGACAAAUUUAAUUAUCUACAAUCAUGGAUACCCUACAACAUUUAAUAACAAAGAUAAACCCUUUUUAACCGUUAUGACAGCACUUUGAGUAUGAAGAAAACAAAAUGUCACACCUGAGAUACGAUUUUUCAAAAGUAACCCGACUCCGAUGACAUUCAAUUUGGCACUUGUUAUGGAUAAAACAAAGAGGGUGACCAUAAAUGUCGUAAAUAAAUUUAAAACUUUUUUUUAACAGUGUAAAAUAAAUUAAAGUUAAUCUCACAAAUACUGGUACGAAACAGUUGUUUAUAACUUACUGUAUGCAUAGGCUUGAUCCUGCUCACGUCUCCUGAAUCAUCCUGUAUAGAGACAU